rnacentral:rRNA from 1 species
UACGAAGGUGGCAAGCGUUGUUCGGAUUUACUGGGCGUAAAGGGAGCGUAGGUGGUUAGGUAAGCCCUCCGGGAAAUCUUCAGGCUUAACCUGAAAAGGUCGGGGGGGACUGCCUAGCUAGAGGGCGGGAGAGGAGCGCGGAAUUCCCGGUGUAGCGGUGAAAUGCGUAGAUAUCGAGAGGAACACCAGAGGUGAAGACGGGUUGCUGGGCCGACACUGACGCUGACAGCGCGAAAGCCAGGGGAGCAAACGGG